AUACGGUGGCGGGGCGCUUUUGCGCUCUGAGGAAAGUCCGGGCUUCACAGGGGCAUGGUAACUGCUAACGGCAGCCGGGGGCGACCCUAGGGAUAGUGCAACAGAAAUAGACCGCCCCGCCUUCGGGCGGAGCAAGGAUGGAAAGGCGAGGUAAGAGCUCACCAGCGCACUGGCGACUUUGCGGCUAUGUAAACCCUACCAGAAGCAACACCCGUAUGGGACAUAUGCGCUGCCCCGCGCGUCCCGGAGGUGGCACGAGCGAUGCGGCAACGCACCGCCUAGACAGAUCACCGUUUAAUACAGAACCCGGCUUACGGUCCGGUC
rnacentral:RNase_P_RNA from 1 species